GGCCGUGUGGCGAAAUGGCAUCGCGUCUGACUACGAGUUGCAGAGAACUUGAUAUCAGGAGAUUGCAGGUUCGACCCCUGUCUCGGUCA